UUUGUUUACACCUUUAUCUCUGCAUCUCAGAGGUCACCUGAAACCAAGCCCCACACCUAUAUAAAAUACCCUAAUCAGCCACACUCACUGAGGGCCGGCGGUGCCAGGUCCAUCGGAGCCACCAAAGCUUUUUCACCUUUUAUCAUGCCAUUACACUUUCUACUGACCAUCCUCCAAACAGGAAACACCUUUUGUUUACACCUUUAUCUCUGCAUCUCAGAGGUCAGCUGAAACAAGCCCCACCUAUAUAAAAAUGCCCUAAUCAGCCACACUAACCCUUUACAUCGGUCAUUGAGAGCAUAACACUUCGUUCAUCAGCACGGACAACAACCCUAAGAGCGUUCUUUUUAACAUGGACAGCAUAUAUGCCUGAUUUUUAGGAACUUGGCACACUGGGACACCCCACGCGGCACUUACACAAGGAUCACAAAGCUAUAUAGGGCAAACAACACCUCUAAAAAACACAAGGUUCAAUAAGUUGUCCAGAAAAACCUACAGAAGCGGGGGCAAUAAGACCAAGCCUUACGUUAGGCCCGAGACAGAGUACACAGCGUGUCAAGAAGCGGGGCCAUCCGGAAUAACACAGAACAAAGUCGAUCACACAACCCCUUACCACUACGGACCCCUUGAAGACCCCUUGACGUUUUUGGAAUAUUUACGUGAUAUUGAACCCCCAGAACAACAAGAAAAACCACAACCUUUGGGCAUCGUUGGAGAAUCGGAAGAAUUCUUCAUCACCGGGCCACACAUACCAGCGAGUGAGUGUCUGCCUAGUGAUUUCAACGAUGUUUUCGAGUACAGUCUAUCAGAUUUCAACAUAAAUGACAUACCCGCCACGCCAGAAUGUCUCAGAAACAACAGUGAUUCAGACAUAGGUUUUGAAGAAGGCGGCAUAACAGACUCACAAAUAUCGCAGGCAUAUGAUGCAUACUUAAAUGCAGCAAAACCCUCUACUUUUGAACAGAGCCAUUGUGCUUCAAAAAAUGAUAUAUUAUCUUUGAUCGAUGCUAAACUUAGUCAACAUCAACGAGAAAUAGAGGCUAAACUUAACCAGCAACAACAAGCAAUACAGCUG